rnacentral:lncRNA from 1 species
UUGAUGUUAAUCACUUUAUUGUUCCUAUAGAAUUAGAUUGUGGCAUUGUGCUGUACAUCUAGAAUUUAGAUAUUAUAUGCACAUAUACAUAACUAUAUAUUCACUUGCUACUCCAGUUGGUAAGAUAUUCUUUAUAAGUAGAAAGCAAAGUAAUAAAAACCAUGUGAGAUCUCCUAAGAUGUUAACAUUUGAAAGGUUAAAGUCAGUCGAAUAUUUUCCUUCCUGUACCUUAAUCCCUUUUGGAACCACCGUAUUCUUAUGCUGCUGACAUGAUAUAGCUGCGCCAGUCCCCUUUCUUGUAUUAUCAAGUAAGUUUUUCCGCCAGAAAUGAUGAAGAAAUACAAAAGCAACAGGCGAGUCGGCAAUAUGAGGAUCAGGAAAGAAUGUAAAAGGAUUAUUCU